AUUCCACUAUUUUCUACUGUAGUGAGUAGUUGAUGUGAGUAGCUGGGAGAUAUUUGUAGUUUUUUCUACAACACUGUUUUUGUACCGAGGAAUAAAGUUUUGAAGUGGGAGCAGAAUGGAAAUACCAUCAGUGUUCUUGCAUAGUGCAUAAAUUGAUAUUACAAGGCACCAAAAAGUGUUCAAGUUGAGAAGACUGCCCAGAGGAAGCUAAAGACCAUAAAUUCUUGUGUUUUAGUGCAAAGGCAGAAUUUUAGUUGCAUUUUGUAAACUCCAAAGAGCGCGAUUUUCUCAGUCCCAAAAACACAAACAUGAGUAUUUUUAGCCAGAUUUCUGUGCUGAGAUCAAUCGUACUUUUGGUUGAGAUUUGAUCGCGAAAGAUCUCCGGAACUGGUCUUAUGCCCUAGACCGCGCUAAUAUAUCACAGUUUCACUAAAAAAGUUAUUGGUAUUGUUAGGCAAGUGAGAAGAAACAUACAGAUUUUAUUAAGAAUAUCACAGUAUUUAUUCUUGUCUCGGAGCCUCAAUUUUCUGUGCUGUGGAAACAGAUUUUUUUCAUCACAAACAUCAUCCUCCCAGUAAAAAAAAAAGAAAAUAAAAGAAAAUCUUCAGUGUUGAGAAAUUGGUGUUUAUUUUUACAAGCUGCAAAUUGUAUGCUUUGGAAGCAUGCAAAAGACACAGCAAAUGGAUUAGAACCAUUUUUAUAGUGUUGCAUGCAGAGCAUCGUAAUAAAAAAAAAGAGGAAUCCUCAAGAGACUCUCCUCCAUCGCCAAGGUUGGAUUUGAUUGCCACGAGAAGGAGGUGAAGAAAAAAAAACAGCUCUAAGUCAAUUUUGAUGAAACGUUACAGCUUUUAAACCCUAUUAAGUUCAUAUCUCGAAAAGCCAUAUCGCAAGAGGAAGACUUUGUGGAGGAGUUUGGAGCGGCAUGCAACGCUGUCCGUAUAUUCAUGAAAUGCGCGAACGCCUUCUGCCGCCCCAGCAGCCCUCACCACCACUUCAGCAACCCCUUCAAUUUCGCCACCACGUACCCCAUCAGCAUCCACCGACGCCGCGACCCAUAGAGCCACCAGCCGCCAUGGAACAGGAGCGCGAAGGACUCCUCCUGGAUAGCCGCCCAACGGACGGUAAUCAGCUAAAUCCCGAUGGAUAUGGCUCACAUACGAGUCCAACUCACCAGAGAACUCCACUCGUUCCCAGGGACCUGGGGGAGGACUUUAGUCUGGAUUAUGCCGAGGAGCCACUCGAUCCGAGAAGACCAAAAAAUGCCAACACAUUUACUAAAGAUAUUGGAUUUUACAUUCGAAGCCAAAAAAGGACAUCCCUCUUCAUAGUCACCAGCUUGGUGUAUGCCAUGCUCCUGGUCGUCGUAUGCGUUGCAUACGUCAUCAGCGAUGUUAGCACUCAUCGAAUCCCAGUGAUGUACUACGAAGGAUUCUUUACCUAUCUCUACGGGGCCAGCAUUCUCUUCCUGCUCUACGUCUUUUGCUUCCUUCUGCAAGAGAGCACUUGCUGUGCUGGAGGUGAGAAGCAGCCCAAGCCUGUGAAGGAGAAGAAGCCGAAGGAGAAGAAACCAAAGAAGGGUGAUCCACCAGAGGGAAAAGAUGCCAAAGGUGGAAAGGACAAGGACAAGGAUGCAGCCAAGGGUGGAAAACCCAGUCCAUUCCAGGAGGUCUUACCCAAAAAGAAACGCGAUUUGGUGCGCGAACAAUCACUGCAAAAGGAUACCACCGUCGAAGCCGAAAAGGCCCCCACACCCAAAAAUGUUCGCAAGAGGAAAACCACCCAGAAUAAUACCACCCAUGGCAGUUUCUUCCUCCGUGUUGGGGCAAUUGCUUUUGGAUUGGGAACAAUGAUCUACACUGGCUUGGAAUUUGGUUCAUUCUUUGAGAUUCCAUUUGAUUCACCAUGCCAUCAAAUUUUACGCGGUGUUAAUCCUCUGCUCCAGAUGAUCUUCACUUUUAUGCAAAUGUAUUUCAUCUUUAUGAAUGCCAGAUUGAACAUUCAUCGUUUCAAAGUCUUGGCAAGAUUUGGACUGAUGCACAUUGUUGCAACUAAUAUUUGUGUUUGGAUCCGGACCCUUGUCCUUGAGUCUCUCAAAGAGAUUACUCUCUAUCAUCAACGCCGUGGACCAGCACCUGAAGAUGGUGCCAUUUUAGAUUCUAUCCGACGACAUACCCUGAGGAACGCAGGAACCGUUAUGGGAACACACCUAGAACCGGACUUCGAAUGGGAACCUCUUCAUUCCAACAUGAACGUUCAGGAAGCCUCAUCAGCAGAAUCCCCAGCAAACAUCCUUUCCCGGAUCGUCAAGAGCACAGCUCAGGGUGUGACUGAAGGUCUUGCUGAGGAUCUGGACAACCCAACCCCUUCAAGAACAACAACAUCAGUUCCUGUUACAACCCUUGCACAUACCACAACAACUUUCCUGCGCAAAUUGAAACGUGCAACUUCAGCCCCAACAACCGAAUCAACCGAAACGACAACAACUGCCCCGCCAGUUACUUCAACCUCGACCCUAGCUUCGAUCUUCGCCCUGUUUUCUUCAUCGUCUACGACAACUUCAACCCCAGCUCCUACUACAACAACCACUUCUACUACAACAGAAUCUUUCUUCAACAACCUCUUUGGUUUUGAUCAACACUCCUAUCAGACGUAUUCAGGACUGGCUCACAACACCAGUAACUCCCUGGACCAGACCUUUGAGAGUUUGGAUUCUCUCUUCCCAUCUGCUUUAACAGCUUUCCAGCCUGUUAACUACACAAAUACAACCAAUGCUACAGCCUGCGGACGGGUUAAUAUCAUGGGGACCAUUGUUCAAGAUUCAGCUCCAUACCUUUACCCCUUUAUCAUUGAGUACUGUUUGAUUGGAGCUGUUGUGAUCUACGUAAUGUGGCGUCAGAUUGGACGUUAUCCCAAGUUCGCAACUGAGGAGGACUUGGAACACCGCUUGGAGGUUAUGCUAUCUCGACGAGCUGUAGCCAUGGCUCAGGCUUCUUCAGGCCGUGUUGACUGCGUAGGAGCUUCCAAAGGACUCUUCUUUGGACUCCUACUCCUUGUGGGUUCCCUCAUCUGCCUGAUCCUCUUCUUCGUACUCGUUCGUCAUCCCCAGCUCUCGUUGUUGGCCAUCUACCUUGCAGACGUAUCUCACAGUGCUCUAAUGGCUUUCUCAGUCAUUGCCAUCCUCAUCGGUUUCUGCAGGGUCCAACACUUGAAAUUCCGCUGCGAGGACCAGAGCAACUUGAAUGAUAUCUUGCUGCGUAUUUCGGCAUUUGGCUUGUUCACAUAUUCAGUGUUUAGCGUGAUUUCGGGAGCUCUUAACUUCAUGGAGAGUGAACCAAAUCUACUGGUCUGCGUCACAGGAGCUCUUGCUGUUCUUCAGGUGAUAUUCCAACUGCUGUUCAUCGCUGAUGUAUCCCGACGUCGGGUACAUCUUCCUGAGCACGACCGUAGCAAACCCGGCCGUCAAAUUGUCACAUUCUUGCUAAUCUGCAAUAUAUCCAUGUUCGCCAUUUACACCUUUGAGGCACAGAAAGUCUUUGCAAAUCCGGUUCAAUUGGACUUCUAUGGCUUCAUUGCCUGGUCACUUAUUCAGCGUGUGACCCUUCCACUGUGCAUAUUCCAUCGAUUUCACAGUGCUGUCACCCUGGCCGAAGUGUGGAAGACCACGUACAAGCCACGCUUGGAAUAAGAUCAUUUCAACUCUUACUCAAUUUCUCAGAAUUAGUAUUUUGAGCUGAAAGACAGACAAGAGGCAAGAAUUUUCUCUCACGUCCAGAAUGGCAGUAAAUGAAAGAUAAAAUGAUAAAAAAAAUGAGAAUUAGUAGAAACAAGAAACAUUUAAUCAAAUCUCAAUUAAUAAUCAAAGGGCAGAAAUAGUUUGUGGAAGGAUUCUUUAAAAAGAAUUUAAGAAAGAUGGGUAAACAGAGUUUGUAGGAAGCAUUAUAAACACGAUAAUGGUCCGAUUAGAAGUUUUUUGGCGAAAAGAAUAGAACCAGAUUAAAUAUAGGAAAGAUGUCUGAAUAUUUCAAAGGAGAAAACACGUAAAAAUUACUAUGAAAAAAAAAAUUAAUUCUUGUUCCGAAUCUGUGUCUAGGUGUUAGGAUAAUGAUGAAUCAUAAACUUAUACACACUUAGAACAUUAACCAUUUUUGAAACAAAAGGUGGACAGAGAUCCUUUUACCAAUUCAUUUUCCCAAACAUUCACAAACAUUAGGAUGAAGGCUUUUCUUCAUUGUCUCUGGCAUUAGUGAUUUUCGAGACGCACACAAUUUAAAAAAGGAUAUAAUGGUUCUUUUUCAGAGGACUAAGACUUCAUUUCAGUUCCCAAAAUGCAAGAAUUAGAAGCGGUAGUUUCACCAGAAUUGCACAGAAAUCUUCCAGAUAGAUGAUUCGAGAUCGAGAAAAUUUUGGCAAUAUGGUGCUAAACUUAUGGGCUGCGCACAAGACUUUUGUUUUGCCAAACAUUGAUUUUUCUAUGUUUUUUUUUACACUAAAAUAUAUCACUCUGUUAAGAAAGCGUGCUUAAUGGCCUCUACACACUAGAGAAAUUUAUGUCCGUAUUGAAGAGUUUUUCCUCCACAAAUGUAGGGAAUUUGCUUCAAUAUGGACAUAAAUUUUCUAGUGUGAAGAGGCCAUAAAAACAAAAGUAAUUGGGUAUUCCUUUGUUUUGAUUUAGAAACCUGUGAACAGAUAUUUCAUAAUUGAUAAACGACAAGGGGGCUCAUAAUAACAGGAUCGAAAAAAUUGGGAACAGUUUCCGGAUUCGAAAUACAUGAUUUAAAAUUGAUUUACGAGGUACUAGAGGGGCCACACACGUUCUGAACGCAUUCAGAACGUGAGAGGUAAGCGAGAGCAAGAAGAAGAAUUUGACAGCUCCGUAGUAGCUAUCUAAAUGACAGUUCUCAAACAAGCUUUGAAACUCAUGAUACUGAAAAAGACAGUAAGAAAUGGAUCCAUCAACUGUCAAAUAAAUAUUUAUAAAAAUAUAUGCAACUGUUCACUGCAUAGCUUACAGAGAAUAAUAACACUACAAAUAUUUGGAGCAUUUUUUCUGACAUCAACAUCUGUCAAAAGAAAAACUUACAAAAUACGUCAUUGAAACAAACAAAAAAACGUUUGUCGCGCCUAAUAUUGUACACACGAUUGUGUUCUGUGAACAUCCAUUUGACAUCUCAAGUAGAAAUAAUGAAAUUCUUGUCUAAUCAUCUAGCUCACUGUCAUAAGUAGUUUCGAAAUUAUGUUUAUAUAAUAAAAAAAAGUUGUGUGCCGCUUAUCACCUCUACUGUCGAAAAAACGUCAGUCCCACUUUCGAAAUAAGAGUGAAUAAGAUGACUAGACUAAGUAAGCAUUUCUUAUACUUUUAUGUUGAGCUAUCAAACCGAGCGCACAGUAUAAUUAUAUUUCGAAACUACGUUCAGGUGAGAUGACCGAUCAUAAAUAGUCUUCUCUUUUGUUGAAACUUGUCUAUUUUAGAAAUUGCUUGAGACAGUGCAUAACGUCUAUAAUCUUUUCUUUUUAUCUUAUGCGGAUAUGUUAAAUUCAUGUUUUCGAAAUUACUUUCGAAAAUGAAAGCUGAUCCUUGUGAAACUAACUGUCAUAUGCUUUCGAAAAUACGACCGGAAAAUAAAUAGUCCUCUCCUUUGUCGAGACUUGUAUGUUUUCGAAAUUGGGCACAGUUUAUGACGUCUAUAAACUUUUCUUUUUAUCUCAUGCGGAUAUGUCAAAUUCAGGUUUUCGAAAUUACUUUCGAAAAUGAAAGCUGAUCCUUGUGAAACUGUCAUGUGCUUUCGAAAAGGCAAGUGAGCAUGACGACUACAAAUAUGUCACUUUCUCUUUUAUCAAACUGUCAACGCAAUGUUUACAAAACACUAGCAAUUGUGCGCUGCCCAUUAUCCCAAAGUAUUUUCAUUUAUUAAAAAGUCUCGUAACAUAUUCAUUUCGCUUUAAUCAGAGUUGAAACAGACUGGAUUCUAGAUAUGAGAUUAAACGAAAAUUUACAGUUUCGUGAAAUACAACUUCUGAUUGAAGACACAAACAUUGAUAAAAAAUUGUUAAUACUCAAUUGGUGAAAGUGACAUAAAAGUUAUCAUAAAAAAACAUAGAAGUUGUGUACUUUGAAUUCGCUUCAUACUGGGACUGCAUUUUUGUACUCGUCUACUUUUUAUAUUAGGAAGUAUAUAAAGAAGAUAUUGAGAAAAAAACAUGUUUUUAUAUAGAAGAAAUUUCGAUGAAAAGAUUUUCACAGUUGAUAGUAAUGAAAAAGAAAUUGAAUAAAAAUUAUUAACAUGAAAAAUUUUAUUGUGUAAAACAGAGAAAAAAUGAAACUUUAAGAAAAAGAAAUCAUAAAACUGUUCUCUGACGAGGAGGUAUAAAACAUUAUAGAGAUAUAAACAGAAUCACAUGAAUUGUGAGCAGUUGAGAUGAAGUAAAAAAAAACUUAAAUAACUAAAUAGAAAUAAAAGAAAAAAAUAUUAUCGUCAGAUAUUCCAAUAAUUAAUAACUAAAAGAAAAAUGAAGGAGAUGAAAUUGUAAGCAUAUUGUAUCGUUUUCAUCUUGAACGUUGAAACAAUUUUAAAAAACAAGAAAAAAAUAACGAUUGAGACAGAGUUUUUUCAACAGAAAUCUUUCUAGUUCUUUUUUCCAAACUUUCGAUGAGACAUUUUCUAUAAAAAAAUAGUAAUGGACAAUUACGAUAGAUUAAAAAAAAAGCGUAGAUUGAGAUUGCUCAUGUCCUGAAAUAGAUGCGAGAUAAUGGUAAAACAUAAAAACCCACCAAGAAUCCUUUUUGCAAGAGAUCAUUAGCACUCUUGAGGAAGUAUAUAAAAAAAAAAGAUACAUUUUUUGGAGAAUUUGCACCAAUGAGGACCAGUUACAUUCAUUAGAAAGAAAAGAAGAAUCACAAUGCAUCGACUUACAUAGAAUUAUUGAUAACAAUUUUGUGAGACAGAGUUGCGAUGAAGAAAUACAAGAAAACACAUUUAAGUCUUGUCUACAAUCUAAAUUGAGGAGAAUUUUUUAAAGUUUUUUCUACCAAAAAAAAAGGAGGUAAAAUGGAACAAUUCUUGCGACUUUGAAGCGCAUUUUCAUAAAAAUCGAAAAAAAAAUCCAAAGUGAAAGAGUUUUAAAAUAUUUUUCACAUGGCAACAAAAUGCAUAAUGAUAUUGAAAAAAAGAAUUUUUGUAUUUAACAAAAUUUACUAAAGUGAUUUAUUUGUGAAGGUAAAAAAAAAUAUUACUAUUGUCUAACAGUGUCUCUUUCGUGUAAAUAGUUCUUUUUAAUUCUCAAUAUUGAUCUUCAAUCUAUGGGAAUAAUCAAUCUGUCCAAAAAGGAAAUUUUUAACUUUUCUUCCCAUAUAGACUAAUGAGUUUUUUCUCUUUGAGAAAUUUAUCGUGUAAGAUAAGUUUGCACUAAAAAAAAUUUGUGUGAUACAAUUUUAUGUCUCUUUAUACUCUAAUCCUUCGUGUAAAAUCCACCAUUGUAUUUCUUAUCAGGCCCUGUGAGUGAGGGUCACACGGCUAUCAAUGAACUAAAUUCCCUCUGACGAUGUUUGCGACAAAAUGUAAUUUUCCGAUUGUGUUACUUUUUGUUUAAUUUUAAGGUUAGAUUGUGGAAAAAUAGCAAUCGAGGAAUAAGCAAGGAUAAGUCGAAAAAGGACGUAAAGAUCAAUUGUUCAGAAGUAUUCAAUUUUUCGAAAUCGAACGGUCAUGGCCAGGAAUAUGAGGUCUUGCAUGUACGGACUUAAAAAAGCUAACCUUAAUAAGCAAGGUUCUUAUUUCACAAAGGUUUUUGAAUUCGAAAAAUUGUUUUCGAAUUUCGAAAAAUAAAUAAUCAAUCAAGUUGCAAAUCUCUUAGGGUUUCUUUUCGAUUUUAUUUUCGAACACAAAAUAUCAUUGAAUAAUGAUUAUGAGUGUUCGAAAAAUGAAACCCACUUGAUCCUGUGUUCGAAGAUUGUUAAGAAAGCAAGCAUAAGAUGAAACGAACGAUUUAUAUUCAAUUUGCUGUAUCAAGAAGUGGAAUUGUUAUUUCCCAGAAAAGAUAUGCAAGCCAUUGUGAGGAGGCGUCAACUUCGAAAUCUUUAAAAUCUUGCUUUGGAGCGCCUAGGGAUCGAAAUCGAACAUCUUCCUGAAGUGGAGAAUUAUUGACAAGCGUGGGCUGUUAAAUUGGAUGUCAUGGGCCCGCGAUCAUGAGACAAUUUUCUGAGAUUUCGAGUAUAAAAACAUUGUUAAUCUCCGAAUAAGUAUUUUGAUGUUCAAAAACAGAAUAAUACGACGGAGCAAGGGUUAAAAGGUGUACAUUCGAAGAAGCAAAGCCAUUAAUAAUUCCUUUCGAAGAUCCAUGGGAAAGCAAAAAAUCGUCUAAUUUUGAAUAAUGAUUUUCAGAAAUGAGAAAUUCGUAGUACUUUUUCACUAAAGCUACGGAUAUUGCGACACGAACGCUUUUGAAUCUUUUUCGAAGAUUAAAGGCUAAAUAAGUUUCUAUAAUGGCUUUCCUAGAUUCCGAAUAAAUCGAUUAGUAACCAAGUUAGUAACUACAUAAUGUUUUGGAAAACGAAUAAGUCAUAACUGAAGAUUUAAAAUUGAGGACAUGAAGAUGUUAAAAUCUUCGUCCGAAUAAUCAACAGAAAAUAUGAUGUAAGUUCGAAUUUCGUCAGAAUUCUUCAAAAUAUAUUAUCGUUGAUUCUUCGGAUAUUGAAUAUACAGAUGAAGCUUAUGACUUGAUUUCGAAUAAGAAAUAAUUAAAAUUCGUGGUAUUCAAGGUUAAAUUUUCGAGGCUACAAAAACAAUUAAAUCUCUGUUCGAAGAAUCUGAAGGCUUAAUGGAAAAUUGCGUUUUUUUCUGAGUUAUUUAAAAAAUAAUUUACAGAGAAACGAGAAAGACAGGUCGGAAAGGUUACAGUAAAGUAUCCUUACGGGUGACUGUAUUUGACAGAGCUAACAGAAUAUCUUUUCGAGGAAGAUUUGAAAAAGUUCUAGUACUUAUGUAGAUUUUCGAAAGCAAAACUUCGAAAUAUAAAAAGCUCUUUAAGUCACUUUUAGAAUUUCGAAAAGUUUAAAAAUCGUUCAUAAUAAAAAUACUGCAACAGCGAUUACGACUUGAUUUAGAAAUCUAUGGGAAAGCAGGUCAUUGUGAUGCAUAGACUGACAGCUUUCAAGUGGAAAACUUCGAUUUUUAAAUUCCAGAGUGGUAAUUCGAAAAUCCUCUUCGAACAUCGAAUUUAAAGGAAAAGAGUUCUAGGAUGUUCGGUUACAGCGUUCAAGCGACUAAUAAACAAACUCAUAUAUCCGAUUUCGAAAGACCUUCGAAAUUCGAAAAUUCGAAUAAUUUCUCCAGAACACUGGGAAUGGCAUGAAGCUUCGCUAAAGUGAAAUUAGUAAAAUUCAGAAAUCUAUAUUCCCCUUUGCUGUUUUUCCAAAUUUACAUCCUCAUUAAUUUUCUAAUAAAUUAUUUGUUUAUGUAGAGAAAAAAAACACAACCUCUAGUGAAUUGAAACACUGCCAUUUUUUCAAUUGACGACGAUGGAACAAUACUAAAGUUAGUGCUCUGUGAGAAAGUCACAGAAAAUUUCGCUCAAAUUCAAUUCUUCCUUUUUCGAAGUAAAUUUCCAUCCCUCCAGCAACUUUUACUCAAAAGAGCUUUUCUCUGACUUUUUUGUUCAGAAGUGACACAAAUUGAGAAUCACAAUAAAAUUCGAAAAGAAGCAAUUAGAGACAAAGAGGUAGAAAUUGGCAUGAGCAAUUCAUAAUCAAUUGUUAUUCUUAGAUAUUAGUUGAUUGCAGAGAGAUUGACCAGGGAAAUGUAUAAAUUAUAAUCACAAUAUUUAUUUUAUUUGCUUAGUUUAUUAUUUUUUUGUUUCUUAUCGAGGAACACGAAAGAGUGAGAUAUUUUGCAAUACAGCAUUUGUUUUUGUGUAAAUUAUCCGCCCCUUAGGUCUCGUCCUUCUCGAUGGCAUUUUAUUGAUUUCCUGAGUGAAAUGAGAGAUUUUUAUUUUGAUUAAAUCAAUUAAUUGUGUAUCUGUAACUGAGGCAAAAAAAAAACAAGAAAAUUUACCAAAAAAUAGAAGCCGUGUAUUAUAUUUAAAGGUAUAUAAAUUUAUUGAUUGAAAAUGGAAAGGCAGGUGAAAACGGAGGAACUGCAAUGGAAAUAUCAGAAAAAAAAUAUUUGAAAAGGAGUGAUGAUUUGUGACACUCUCUAGUAGCGAUAUAAUUUAUUGUACAAAAGAUAUAAAAUGAAGAAAAAAAAACAAAGAAUGUACUUAAAAGAUAUGAUAACAUACAUAUGCUAAAUUACGUUAACGAUA